UUUGGUGUAAUGUAAAUAACAAAAUUUUACAUAAUUUCUCAAUUUACUUAUUAUUUUUGUAUCUUCAGAAAAGAGGGAAGACACAAAGAGGACUUGCUUUGUGCUAUGCAUCAGAAUGUUUUCCACUGGCUGUAGAAUCUGUCUGACAACGGGUGUGCCGUUGAUGAUCAUCGGAGGCUACCUAAGGUUGGUGUAUGAGAAGAUCACCAGUACCGUACUUGACACAGCUAACCCGAGGCGUGUAGCAGUGUGUUUUGAAUGCUACCAUGAGCUUGAUAACUGCCACGAAUUGAUAUUAACAGCUGCCAGAGCAGAGAAUUUGCUCAAACUUAUAAUGGAUAGACUUUCUGAGUGAGGUAAAACAUCAUGAAGACACCUGCACAUUCAGAGUGGUGAGGAUGCAAACUGGACUAAUGCUAGAAGGAUGAUUAGUGUACUGAAGCCCAGAAGCUGUUGGCUACCAGUGUAAGUGCAACAUGAGCACUGCAAAGAUGAGAUACCAGACUUUUUUAAUGGGAUUGAGUUGGGCUUGAUUGGAGCAUUAUCUUUGUAUUUCGAAGACAUAUUUGGAAAUGAGAAAAAGUACAAUAAAAUUACAUAGGAUAAUGAUGACAUCUGCAGAAGUUAUUUACCUGUGUUGCAGAUGUCAACACCCAACUCGAGAAAACAUUUAUAUAAUGUGUUUCCUUAAUCUUAGCACCUAAUUAAUUUUAUUACAAUAAAAAAGGAAAGAAAAAGGUUUGAUGUUUACUUUAUUGUGUGCAAGUGUGUUUUGUGGGGCUUGUAUGUGUGAGUGUAAGUAAAGAGAGAAACAAUGUAAGGUGAAUAUUGUGGAUUUGAAACAUCUGUUCACGGGGAUAUUUAAUAUAAUGUAAGACUUUCCAUAUUAUUGUGA
rnacentral:lncRNA from 1 species